GGUAACAGCUUCAGUAGCACAACGCCU
rnacentral:piRNA from 1 species